GCUUAACUUCUUCUUGGUCUGCACACCAACCCACCAAAAAAGUGAAACGUUUAUGACAGGAAAAAGGGCACCGAUUGGGUUCAUUAACUAAUUUCGGGUCUGUUGUUUUAAUUAUGAUAUAUAAAAAAGUGCCCAUUUCCCGACAGAAAAAAAGCAGGCCUCACGUUCUUGACGGCCCAGAAUGAGCUGGUGGCACAUUCAUCAAGCGCACCGAGGCAAUAGGGACGUUCGGGAAUUCGAGCAUCAAGUGGUGAAGGUGCCUACGCCUAAGCUUACGCACCGAGCGAUCUUCCACGAUCGUAAAACAGCGCCUCUGCACGCAGCUCCAUUCUUCGCUGGUUGACAUUCAUUAGCGGCCAAAUGGUAAAUGUAUGCUGAGCGAAGAUGCUGCACGAGAUUCGGUUCUAACGGGCCCGCGGGAAGGUAUGAAAGGCUAUCGAAUUAAGGGUGAUAAUUAGGUGCGCUUGGAAAAGGGAGAUGGAUAGUUAAGGAACGCAACCUGUUGGGAAGCAAAGCCCUGUUAGGCUUUAGUUUUGAACCCUGAGGUAAGAUACAGGAAAAAGCGGCCGACUGACCGAGGUAAGUAACUCCAAUCGUUCCAAAGUCGUCGCUAAUCUCUCAAUUACUUCAUGACCCACAAACAUCUGUUCCGUUUUGGACAGGAACAAAUGCAGCGCAACGAAUCUCGCCCACGGUUUCUUAACGACAGCGCUUGUGUGUGGGAAUUUGUCGGCUUAGCCUAACGGCUAAAGGGUUAUCCAUGAACAACGUAACGUGCAAAGAAAUUUGAUGCAAAUAAAAAAAACAAACAAGAUAAUUUUUACCGACA